GGAAACUUCCAUUGGCUGGAUCAAAGUGGUUUUUUUUACACACGAUGGGCAAAAGGUGAACCUAACAAUUUCUUUGGGUCUGAGGACUGCUUGGAAAUUAACUACCCAGGGGUUGGUAGCUGGAAUGAUGUCAGAUGCAAAAGAAAGAAGCCAUAUGUUUGUCAACAUAGAGUUUGACCACAAGGAAGCAUUCCUUCACUUCUAUGCUACUAACCUUAAGAGUCCUUCCCUUAUCGGUGUAUUCCAAUGAUUCACUCAUCUUUCCCUAUUAUCCUCCCCCUAAAUCUGUCUUCAUCCCAGCUAUAUAUGAGCUUUAUGCUAUUGAAGCUUAAUAAAAUGGUUAAAGAAAA